ACGGGGUGUUAAAGGGACAAAGUCUAAGCAUUUCCUUGAAACGCUCCCACGCAUCAUAUAGAGACUCCCCAUCUUUUUGGUUGAACCGCGUGAUUUGAUCUCUUAGUUU
rnacentral:snoRNA from 1 species